UACGUAGGGGACAAGCGUUGUCCGGAAUCAUUGGGCGUAAAGAGCGUGUAGGCGGCCAGAUAAGUCCGCUGUGAAAUCUCGAGGCUCAACUUCGAGCUGUCGGUGGAAACUGUCUGGCUAGAGUCCGGAAGAGGAGAAUGGAAUUCCUGGUGUAGCGGUGAAAUGCGCAGAUAUCAGGAAGAACACCCGUGGCGAAGGCGGUUCUCUGGGACGGUACUGACGCUGAGACGCGAAAGCGUGGGGAGCGAACAGG
rnacentral:rRNA from 1 species